rnacentral:rRNA from 1 species
AACGCGAAGAACCUUACCCAGGUUUGAAAUGCAGAGCGCGAUAUCAGAGAUGAUAUUUCCCGCAAGGGGUUCUGUGUAGGUGCUGCAUGGCUGUCGUCAGCUCGUGCCGUGAGGUGUUGGGUUAAGUCCCGCAACGAGCGCAACCCUUAUCAUUAGUUGCCAACACGAGAGGUGGGGACUCUAAUGAGACUGCCUAGGUUAACUAGGAGGAAGGUGAGGAUGACGUCAAGUCCGCAUGGCCUUUAUGUCUGGGGCUACACACGUGCUACAAUGGACGGUACAGAAGGCAGCGAAGUCGCAAGAUGGAGCAAAUCCCUAAAGCCGUUCCCAGUUCGAAUUGUAGUCUGCAACUCGACUACAUGAAGCCGGAAUUGCUAGUAAUGACGUGUCAGCAACAACGUCGUGAAUACGUUCCCGGGCCUUGUACACACCGGCUAC